UACGUAGGGGGCAAGCGUUAUCCGGAUUUACUGGGUGUAAAGGGAGCGUAGACGGCACUGCAAGUCUGGAGUGAAAGCCCGAGGCCCAACCACGGGACUGCUCUGGAAACUGCGGGGCUGGAGUGCAGGAGGGGUAAGCGGAAUUCCUAGUGUAGCGGUGAAAUGCGUAGAUAUCACACAGAACACCGAUUGCGAAGGCAUCUGACGAAUCGGAGAUUGACGCUGAUGCACGAAAGCGUGGGUAUCGAACAGG
rnacentral:rRNA from 1 species